AGUGAACGCUGGCGGUAGGCCUAACACAUGCAAGUCGAACGGCAGCACAGUAAGAUCUUGCUCUUACGGGUGGCGAGUGGCGGACGGGUGAGGAAUACAUCGGAAUCUACUUUUUCGUGGGGGAUAACGUAGGGAAACUUACGCUAAUACCGCAUACGACCUACGGGUGAAAGCAGUGGAUCUUCGGACCUUUCGCGAUUGAAUGAGCCGAUGUCGGAUUAGCUAGUUGGCGGGGUAAAGGCCCACCAAGGCGACGAUCCGUAGCUGGUCUGAGAGGAUGGUCAGCCACACUGGAACUGAGACACGGUCCAGACUCCUACGGGAGGCAGCAGUGGGGAAUAUUGGACAAUGGGCGCAAGCCUGAUCCAGCCAUACCGCGUGGGUGAAGAAGGCCUUCGGGUUGUAAAGCCCUUUUGUUGGGAAAGAAAAGCAGCAGGUUAAUACCCCGCUGUUCUGACGGUACCCAAAGAAUAAGCACCGGCUAACUUCGUG
rnacentral:rRNA from 1 species